rnacentral:sRNA from 1 species
ACAGCUACAACCGCACAGAACAAGUUAAUAAGUACUUCGGUCACUUGGGAUGGCGAGUCUAAGUAUAUU